AUAGUCUGCACUGUUUGGGAAGAAUAUAGCCUGCUAUUUUCUUAUAGGCUUUGCCUAUACUUACAACCCUGAUUACCAGGUUAAAUAUAAAAGAUCUGCACCAAGACCAUUGAUUUUCACUUUCACCUGUGACAAAUACUAAUGUAGGUGAAUGCCAGCCGGAUCCCAUUGGUAACUAAUAGGCUAAUGGGUCUGUGUGAUUAUAGAAGCCCACCUUGUUUCAAACUCCAGGCACAACGUUACUAGUCUGUACAUGCUCCUCGCGUCAGCCUUUCCAUGAGACCCAUCGCUGCAGCGUGGAGAUCAAGAGGUUUUGCACGAAUAGGUCAUGUGUGCGCGCUGGGGGCUUCGACGUCUACCGAUAAUUAGCCUACAAGUGCGUCGCUCCGUCCUCGACGUGUGUAGGAGCUUGACCUGUGCCUUGGAAUGGGACCAAAUCCUACGCGCACGUACAUUGCAAUAGGCUAAUUACGCAAAUGAAUAGGUGGAAUUUAUUUUCACUAAAUGACUACAGAAAUGCAACGAGUAAGAGUAAUGCGAGUAGCAGCUAGUGUUCACUAGCAAGCGGUAAAAUGCCGCUCGCUUGUGGGCAUGCUGGCUGCAUAUGACAGCAUAUAGCAGCACGUUCGAUUGUGCGUUAAGAAUUCAGCAUAGCAAGUUUGAAUGAAGGUCUUGUUAUUAAAUGGGUAAAUAGUUCAAUAGUAAUAUUCUCUAAAACGCCCUGUUUCCAAUCAUCCACAUGGCUGGGAGAACAUAUUCAAGUUUUCUGACCUCAGAUACAGAGAGCUGUGAAAGCCUGUCUGCAGAGGAAGAGGUCCCAAAGAAGAGCAAUGGUUCUCAGUCCUGGUCCUGGGGACUCAAAGGGACAGAUACCUUGUAACUGGAGAUUCCUUCAAAACGAUUG